UGGCUCAGUUGGUAGAGCAUGUGACUCUUGAUCUCAGGAUCAUGAGUUCGAGCCCCAU
rnacentral:tRNA from 1 species